rnacentral:rRNA from 1 species
UUGUAAGUACUGUCUUUGGGGAAGAAAAUUCCUGUUGAAAAUAUUGAAGUGACAUGACAGUACCUAAGGACGAACCCCCGGCUAACUACGUGCCAGCAGCCGCGGUAAUACAUAGGGGGCAAUCGUUGUCCAGAAUUAUUGUGCGUAAAGGGCGCGUAGGCGGAUUUUUAACUCCGGUGUGAAAGAUCAGGGCUCAACCCUGAAAUUGCAUCGGAAACUGGGGAUCUUGAGGACAGGAGAGGAAAUUGGAAUUCCACGUGUAGCGGUGAAAUGCUUAAAUAUGUGGAGGAACACCAUUGGCAAAGGCGACUUUCUGGACUGUAACUGACGCUAAGGCGCGAAACCGUGGGGAUCAAACAGGAUUAAAUACCCUGGUAGUCCACGCCGUAAACAAUGACUGC